UAAAGCAAGAAAGGGCGUAUGGGGAAUGCCUAGGCACACUCCGGCGAAGAAGGACGCAGCAAACAGCGAAAUGCGACGGUGAGCGGUAAGCACGUGAAGAGCCGUCGAUAUCCGAAUGGGGGAACCCCCACGGAGUCAUAUCCGUGUAUCACAUGUCGAAUACAUAGACAUGAUGAGGCGAGACGCAGGGAACUGAAACAUCUAAGUACCUGCAGGAAGAGAAAAUAAGAAUGAUUUUCUGAGUAGCGGCGAGCGAAAGGGAAAGAGCCCAAACCGAUUUGAGGAUCGGGGUAGUAGGAUCAUCGAUAAAUCAAACAGAGGAUCAUAGAGGAAUCACAUGGGAAGGUGAGCGAGAGAGGGUGAGAGCCCCGUACUCGAAAUGAGAGACUGGAGAGAGAUGACACCUGAGUAGGGCGGGACACGAGAAAUCCUGUCUGAAUCAGCCGGGACCAUCCGGCAAGGCUAAAUACGAGAGAGUGACCGAUAGUGAACCAGUACCGUGAGGGAAAGGUGAAAAGAACCCCGGGAGGGGAGUGAAAGAGAACCUGAAACCAUAUGCCUACAAGAAGUCAGAGCCCGUUAAAGGGUGAUGGCGUGCCUUUUGUAGAAUGAACCGGCGAGUUACUGUAUGGAGCGAGGUUAAGCAGGAUAUGCGGAGCCGAAGCGAAAGCGAGUCUUAAGAGGGCGCGAGUUGCAUGCAGUAGACCCGAAACCGGGUGAUCUAGCCAUGACCAGGUUGAAGUUGGGGUAAAACCCGAUGGAGGACCGAACCGACCCCCGUUGAAACGUUGGCGGAUGAGUUGUGGCUAGGGGUGAAAUUCCAAUCGAACCCGGAGAUAGCUGGUUCUCCCCGAAAUAGCUUUAGGGCUAGCGUCGAGAGAAGAGUUGCGUGAAGGUAGAGCACUGAAUAUGUGAUGGCCCCAUCUCGGGGUACUGAGCAUAAUCAAACUGCGAAUGUCACGCCAACAUGCUCGGCAGUCAGACAGCGGGUGAUAAGGUCCGUUGUCAAGAGGGAAACAGCCCAGACCAUCAGCUAAGGUCCCAAAAUGUAUGCUAAGUGGAAAAGGAUGUGGAGAUGUACAGACAACUAGGAGGUUGGCUCAGAAGCAGCCAUCCUUUAAAGAGUGCGUAACAGCUCACUAGUCGAAUGACUCUGCGCCGAUAAUUUACCGGGGCUAAGCAUACUACCGAAGCUAUGGAUCCCAAGGGAUGGUAGGGGAGCGUUCCAUGAACGGAGAAGUACGACCGAAAGGACGUGUGGAGAUCAUGGAAGAGAGAAUGCCGGUGUGAGUAGCGGAACGUGGGUGAGAAUCCCACGCACCGAAAACCCAAGGUUUCCAGAGGAAGGUUCGUCCGCUCUGGGUAAGUCGGGACCUAAGGCGAGGCCGAAAGGCGUAGUCGAUGGACAACAGGUAGAGAUUCCUGUACCCGUAUAUAUGUGAAGGAAUGACGGAGAGAGGAAGCUGCAGCCAGCGGCUGGAAGAGCUGGUGCAAGCGAGAUAUCGGGAUGGCAGGCAAAUCCACCAUCCGAAACGAGAAGGCGUGAAGCGUACGGAAAGCUACGGCGAGUACGGAAGGCAGUGGAGGAACUUCCAAGAAAAGUUUCUAACGUUAAGUAUAUAUGGCCCGUACCGAAAAUGGACACACAUGGGUGAGGAGAGAAUCCUAAGGUGAGCGAGAGAACUAUAGCUAAGGAACUCUGCAAAAUGACUCCGUAACUUAGGGAGAAGGAGUGCUCAUAGAGAUAUGAGCCGCAGUGAAACGGCCCAAGCGACUGUUUACCAAAAACACAGCUCUCUGCUAAGCCGCAAGGCGAAGUAUAGGGGGUGACGCCUGCCCGGUGCUGGAAGGUUAAGGGGAGGGGUUAACGCAAGUGAAGCCCUGAACUGAAGCCCCAGUAAACGGCGGCCGUAACUAUAACGGUCCUAAGGUAGCGAAAUUCCUUGUCAGGUAAGUUCUGACCCG
rnacentral:rRNA from 1 species